rnacentral:ncRNA from 1 species
UCUCUGUUUUACACGGUCUCUGCCAGACUCCGCAUGUCUCAGAGGUUAGGUUGGGUUACGUUAGGUAAAGGUAGGCCCGAGACUGUCAUAAGGAUAUCGGACCUUACUGAGACAGGGUCUUUCAGAGAAUUUGCGACAGUGCCCCGCGUGAUCCGAUCUGAGGACACUGUCAGGCGGGGAGUUUGACUGGGGCGGUACAUCUGUCAAAGGAUAACGCAGGUGUCCUAAGGCCAGCUCAGCGAGGACAGAAACCUCGCGUGGAGCAAAAGGGCAAAAGCUGGCUUGAUCCCGAUGUUCAGUACGCAUAGGGACUGCGAAAGCACGGCCUAUCGAUCCUUUUAGCUUGGAGAGUUUCCAGCAAGAGGUGUC